GGUGACCUUCAGUUGUUUAUUUCUGUGUCUUUUGGUCUCUGGUGGAGUUUUUUUUCAUUGACAGUUUUAUGGCAUUUUAAUAUACGGCUGAAGCUGACUAUACGGUAUGGGUUUUGCUCAUUGUUGAAGACCGUACGUAGGGUGACCUUUAGUUGUUAAUUUCUGUCUCUUUUGGUCUCUGGUAGAGUUUUUUUCGUUUUAUGGCAUUUUAUUAUACCACUGUAGCUGACUAUACAGUAUGGGUUUUGCUCAUUGUUGAAGACCGUACGUAGGGUGACCUAUAGUUGUUAAUUUCUGUAUCUUUUGGUCUCUGGUGGAGUUUUUUCAUUGACACAUUUUUAGGACAUUUUAAUAUACCGCUGUAGCUGACUAUACGAUAUGGGUUUUGCUCAUUGUUGAAGACCGUACGUAGGGUGACCUAUAGUUGUUAAUUUCUGUGUCUUUUGGUGUCUGGUGGAGUUUUUUCCUUGGCAAUC
rnacentral:lncRNA from 1 species